GCCAUAUCAUUUCCAAGAAAAACAUCUACAACUUCCUGGAAUCAACAAUGCAAUCACUUAAUACCAAGAAGACGCCUACACUUUUCAAAGUUCGUUGAACUGGAUUCUUGGAAGAACCAUGUGGGGAAAACUCUUGUUGUUGCUGAGUUACAAAAUCCAAAAUCAUUUGAAUCCUGAUACCGAAGAACGAAGAUCUAUUUUUCUAAAUCUAAUUUAUAUUUUAAAAGUCUAUCGAAUCUAUAUGCCAGUUUCAACAAAUCAAGAAUAUGAUAGUAUGCAGACACACCUGAAUUAUUGAGAAAUGUAUAAAUGUAAUCACAAAUCCGAUGUCAUUCCACCGUACGGUUUUCCAUCUAAGAAUAUAUUUCCCAAUUCCCAAUAUCUGGAUUUAUAUUCUGAAGCAAAAUAAUAUCAGAACUUCCCAAUUUUGUCGUUUGUACAGAGUAUACAACUACCGAACAUAGUCAUAGGAUAAAUACUAGCUACAUUAAAUUUAUACUUUAGAACACGCAGCUAUUUUCGCUAAAACAAAUGCACACUACACAGGUUAAAUAUACUGUGCUGGCGAAUAGAAAUAUUCAGUAAUUCCUUUGGCAAUUGGAACAAACAGAACCGAUUUUCACAGGAAGUGAUAAACCGACUCAGUGAUGG